CGUAGGGGGCAAGCGUUGUCCGGAUUCAUUGGGCGUAAAGAGCUCGUAGGCGGUUCGGUAAGUCGGGUGUGAAAUCUCCGUGCUCAACACGGAGCGGCCACCUGAUACUGCCGUGACUCGAGUCCGGUAGGGGAGUGUGGAAUUCCCGGUGUAGCGGUGAAAUGCGCAGAUAUCGGGAGGAACACCAGUAGCGAAGGCGGCACUCUGGGCCGUGACUGACGCUGAGGAGCGAAAGCGUGGGUAGCAAACAGGAUUAGAUACCCUGGUAGUCCACGCCGUAAACGUUGGGCACUAGGUGUGGGUCUCUAUCGACGGGAUCCGUGCCGUAGCUAACGCAUUAAGUGCCCCGCCUGGGGAGUACGGCCGCAAGGCUA
rnacentral:rRNA from 1 species